rnacentral:rRNA from 1 species
GCCCGGGAACUCAAAGGAGACUGCCAGUAAUAAACGGGAGGAAGGUGGGGAGACGUCAAGUCAUCAUGGCCCUUACGAGUAGGGCUACACACGUGCUACAAUGGCGCAUACAAAGAGAAGCGACCUCGCGAGAGCAAGCGGACCUCAUAAAGUGCGUCGUAGUCCGGAUUGGAGUCUGCAACUCGACUCCAUGAAGUCGGAAUCGCUAGUAAUCGUAGAUCAGAAUGCUACGGUGAAUACGUUCCCGGGCCUUGUACACACAGCCCGUCACACCAUGGGAGUGGGUUGCAAAAGAAGUAGGUAGCUUUAACCUUCGGGAGGGCGCUUACCC